rnacentral:rRNA from 1 species
UACGGAGGAUUCAAGCGUUAUCCGGAUUUAUUGGGUUUAAAGGGUGCGUAGGCGGUCGGAUAAGUUAGAGGUGAAAUCCCGAGGCUCAACUUCGGAAUUGCCUCUGAUACUGUUCGGCUAGAGAGUAGUUGCGGUAGGCGGAAUGUAUGGUGUAGCGGUGAAAUGCGUAGAGAUCGGGAGGAACACCAGUGGCGAAGGCGGCCUACUGGGCUUUAACUGACGCUGAGGCACGAAAGCGUGGGUAGCAAACAGG